CUUGCUUUGUGUUGUGAACAUGCGCAAUGUUAUUGUUUAACACAGAAGUUUGUACCCAUAUUGAGUUGGUGGAGUGAAGUCGGUUUUUGAAGAGGGAUCGCAAAAGAGAAGAUCGCAGCAACUCGCCGGACAGGUGGAGGUCCUCCUCCACUGGAAACACAGGGAGCCAUUGGGAUCUUGGAAGAGCUGUUCCAGGGGAGGCUAAAUGUGGAGACAAUCGAAGGGGGGUGUGAGUCAGCCGUGGGUGCACAACCAACUGAGCACUUAUCUCUGUCUUAUCGGAUGGAAGAUGCAUGAAAAGACAGAAAAUUCAAGAGGAAUAUUGAAGAGGAAAUAUUGAUUUUAUCAAAAAAAAAAAAGUUGAACUGGAAAUAGAAAAAUUAGAAUUAUAAAAAAAAAAAAAAUCAAUUAAUAUGUUAAAAUUAGCAUUUUAGUUAUGUUACUUUUUUACAAUAUUUUAUUACAAUAAUAAAACAGAACGCAUCCCCACUUACUAACCCUUUCAGAGCACAGUGUGUUUUUAUUGUACCAGACUACUGGGAGGACAUGCACUGGAUUACAUUAUCAUCAUGUAUCACCGCCCCCACCCGAAAACCCGAGACAUAAAGGUGAUAUAGAUUAAAUCAACAAUCAAAGAAAAAAGAGCAGAGACCAAUACAGUUUCAGGGCUUUUAUAUAGUAGUUAAACUGCAUAACUGCAUUAAACUGCACAUACACAUUCACAAUCAGUAUUUUUAUACAUAUCAAGUGGAAAUGAAUUGAAGAAAGGGUAUAUAAUUCUAAAUUAUACUCUUAGACCAAGGACCGAACUAAUUACAUGCCUAGUAUUUAUUUCUACAGCACACCACUGAUAAUUCUCAAUAAACUACAGUAAGUCUAUUUCACACUAACAAUAGUAGUAAUAAUAAUUGCUGUAAUGAAGCUAAAAUGUAAUUGUAUAACACAUAAUCUAACUAUUUAUAAACACGAGUGCUACAACAAACAUUUUGAUGUAUAAAUGAUGUAUAAAGAAAAAAAAUAUCUAAGAAAAAACAUUAUUUAAAAUAUAAUUUCUCAUGAUUUGCCCUGCUCUUAAUUGGUCAUUUAUUUCCUCAGUUUGUUCCUAAAAGUUUUCACCUUCAUCCUCCUCCGGUACCCAGGUACCGCCUUAGGACAUAACCACUGUCCCCCAAAAGAUGUCCAAUAUUCUGCUCUAAAUAAGUCAUAUCAAAAGAGGUUUAAUAAUCACAGCUAUUUAACAUCUUUUGCUGUAACAUACACUGCUUCAGUGUCUAAUAUUAGACUUCUUAUACUGUGGUAUUAAAUAAUGUAUACCAAGGUUUAAGAUUGGAAUGUGGUAUAGUAGCCUAUGUAUUAAAAUGUUGUUGCUUUUUUAACUUAUCAGUAAGCGCUGUAAUGUCUAGGAUGUAGCUGCCUUUUCCUUUUACAUCAGAAAGUAAUUGUCGUAGCAAUAAUAAUAAUAAUAAUAAUAAUAAUAAUAACAAUAAUAAUAAUAAUAAUACAUACGAGAGUCAAGAAAGUGGCACACACUGGAAUUUCUAAAUACCCAAGAAUCAUGGCAGGAUCCUGGCCAUUUUGCCAUGAUAUGUGUGGUCUUGUAUUUGGCGUCACACAUUAUCUAGUAAUAUAAAGAUACAAAUGUAAGAAUAUCCAUAUGUACAUGCUAUUGCGAACCUUCGUGUUCUCGUGUUGUGUAGAUUGUAAUAAAAAGUCAAUUAGAUGCAUUUAGCGUUUCGUCACUGUAAUUUCUAAAUUAUUACACUUUUAUAUUUAAAUACUAAGGUAACAUUUAUUUACAAUGUAUUGCUUACACAGUUUUAAUUAUACAUUUGCUACAAAUUAUAAUGCAAUUACUUUAAUUCACAUGAACAUUUAAUGAAUUAAUCUGUUUCCUAAUCACAAAAAGUGGCUUGUCCCUAUAACUGGUGCAAUUAUUCGAACGUGGGUGCCGUCUACCACUCCGAUGACACCCAGGAAGCCUAUAAUGAAACAAUGAAUAAUAAAACUUUC